rnacentral:tRNA from 1 species
GGUGGCUCAGUGGCAGAGCGCUUGCCUUGCAUGCACGAGGCCCUGGGUUCGAUUCCUCAGCACCA